AAAAAAGAAAGCAAAUUGAUAAUAGAUGACAAUUUAAUAUAGAGAUGUAAAAACCAAAGCAAGCCAGAUUUUUUUUCCUAUUUCCAGAAGAAAAAAAUUAAGAAAAGGAAAGAAAGAUAAACUAUUAUAAGUCAAAGUGAAGGGUGUCACAUCUUCAAAUCAAUAAGAUCUGGACAAUAACCAAGUGAAACUACAAAUAGACCUAUAUAAUAGCCCAAGUGAUUGACUAUCUAUGAAAAGAAAUUGGCUCAAAAUCGCUCGGUGACAGACAGAGAACUUUAUUACUGAAAGAUAACAAGAAUCCUCUGUCUAUUUUCCUUUUUUUUUUUUUUCUUUAUCCAUUGUUUAUUUCUUUUACUUCAUUUUAUUUACCCUACAAAUAUUUUCGUCCAUUUUUAUUUUUCGAGUAUUUUUUUUUUGUUUUGAUAUUUUUACAUUUUUCAGCUUUUGCUCAUUUCUGUCAUCUCAGUGAGCACCAUCACAAAGUGUAAGCUGUUAGCUCCCAGUGAACUGAAUUUCGUGAUCCAGUUUUCGUUUUAAAUAUUUCUUUCCCUGUCUCUCACUAUAAAUCUCAAAUAAAAAUUUUGCUGCAGACGUCAUUUCCUGUCACUCAAACUGCAAGUCAAUGAAGAAAUUUCUCUCCAUGAACAACAAACAACAACAACAACGACGACGACAAGACGGCAGCUACAGCAACAGUAAUGACAACAACAAUAAUGGCAGUAACAGCAGCUCUCGUUGCUGCGUUACUCUCGUUUAUCUGACAUGAAAGAAUUACUAUGGAUGAACGACUGAGAAAUAAUUCUGAGUAGCUUUCAAAGUUUCAUUUUUCAAAAUCUUGUAAGCAACAAGGGAAAAACAAAAAUAUCUUAAAUUUAAAAACUCAGGCAUUCGACGUCAGUUUAAAAAGACAUUUAAAAGAAACACCCCUGCCCUUAAAAUCCAAAGACAACUAUUUAUUAUAUAUAAUUAUUAUAUAUAUAUAUAUAUAUUAUAUAUAUAUAUAUAUGGUUUAUAAGCCAGAAACUAACAGAAGCGCAAUUGAAAAGAUGAGAUAUUUAAAAUAAAACAAGCAAAUAAUAAUAAAAUAAAGAUAUAUAAACAUUAGCAAAAUGGGAAAAUUAUAAAUGAGCUUUUUUAAAUUACAGAAAACCAAAGAAACUUACAAACGAACAUCACUGUUCUAUUUAUCUAUCUUUCUAUCUAUCUAUCUAUCUCGAAAAAGGGUUGUGGAAAUAUUGUGAAGGUUAUAAUUUAUAAACUUAGCAAACCCAAGCAAAUUUUAAAAGUCAAAAUGCAAGAAUAAAAGUUCUUCAAAAAGUGGAACACACACACACACAUAUAUAUAUAUAUAUAUAUAUAUAUAUAUAUAUAUUAUAUGCAUGUAUAUGUAUCUAUGCAUAUAAAAUAUAGUCUUUUAUAAUUACGACCCACGUUAUUAUGGAUAGAUGACCAAGGGAAAACAAUCUAAAUUAUUAAAAAAAAACAAACGAACGAACAUUACGAAGGGGAAUUACAAUACAAUAUAUAUAUAUAUAUAUAUUAUAUAUAUAUAUAUAUAUAUAUAUAU
rnacentral:lncRNA from 1 species